rnacentral:rRNA from 1 species
AUUGAACGCUGGCGGCAGGCCUUACACAUGCAAGUCGAGCGGCAGAGAGAAGCUUGCUUCUCUUGAGAGCGGCGGACGGGUGAGUAAUGCAUCGGAAUCUGCCCAGUAGUGGGGGAUAGCGUUGCGAAACGGACGCUAAUACCGCAUACGUCCUACGGGAGAAAGCAGGGGACCGUCAGGCCUUGCGCUAUCAGAUGGGCCUAUGUCGGAUUAGCUAGUUGGUGGGGUAAUGGCUCACCAAGGCGACGAUCCGUAACUGGUCUGAGAGGAUGAUCAGUCACACUGGAACUGAGACACGGUCCAGACUCCUACGGGAGGCAGCAGUGGGGAAUAUUGGACAAUGGGGGCAAGCCUGAUCCAGCCAUGCCGCGUGUGUGAAGAAGGCCUUCGGAUUGUAAAGCACUUUAGGUUGGGAGGAAGUGCAGUAAACUAAUACUUUGCGGGUAUGACGGUACCGAAAGAAUAAGCACCGGCUAACUACGUG